GCCCUUGUAGCUCAACUGGUAGAGCACCUGAUUUGUAAUCAGGGGGUUGCGGGUUCAAGUCCUGCCGGGGGCA
rnacentral:tRNA from 1 species